rnacentral:rRNA from 1 species
AGUGAACGCUGGCGGUAGGCCUAACACAUGCAAGUCGAACGGCAGCACAGUAAGAGCUUGCUCUUACGGGUGGCGAGUGGCGGACGGGUGAGGAAUACAUCGGAAUCUACUUUUUCGUGGGUGAUAACGUAGGGAAACUUACGCUAAUACCGCAUACGACCUACGUGUGAAAGCAGGGGAUCUUCGGACCUUGCGCGAUUGAAUGAGCCGAUGUCGGAUUAGCUAGUUGGCGGGGUAAAGGCCCACCAAGGCGACGAUCCGUAGCUGGUCUGAGAGGAUGAUCAGCCACACUGGAACUGAGACACGGUCCAGACUCCUACGGGAGGCAGCAGUGGGGAAUAUUGGACAAUGGGCGCAAGCCUGAUCCAGCCAUACCGCGUGGGUGAAGAAGGCCUUCGGGUUGUAAAGCCCUUUUGUUGGGAAAGAAAAGCAGCAGGUUAAUACCCCGCUGUUCUGACGGUACCCAAAGAAUAAGCACCGGCUAACUUCGUG